AACCCUACGGGGGGCAGCAGUGGGGGAUAUUGCACAGUGGGGGGAACCCUGAUGCAGCGACGCCGCGUGGGUGAAGAAGCGCCUCGGCGCGUAAAGCCCUGUCAGCAGGGAAGAAAAUGACGGUACCUGACUAAGAAGCCCCGGCUAACUACGUGCCAGCAGCCGCGGUAAUACGUAGGGGGCAAGCGUUAUCCGGAUUUACUGGGUGGAAAGGGAGCGUAGACGGCUAAUCAAGUCAGAAGUGAAAACCCAGGGCUCAACCUUGGGAGUGCUUUUGAAACUGAGUAGCUAGCGUGCAGGAGAGG
rnacentral:rRNA from 1 species